CCUACGGGAGGCAGCAGUAAGGAAUCUUCCACAAUGGGCGAAAGCCUGAUGGAGCAACGCCGCGUGCAGGAUGAAGGUUUUCGAAUCGUAAACUGCUUUUAUUAGUGAGGAAUAUGACGGUAGCUAAUGAAUAAGGGUCUGCUAACUACGUGCCAGCAGCCGCGGUAAU
rnacentral:rRNA from 1 species